AUAACCUUAGUAUAUUCUGCAGAGUUAGAAUCACCAGAUAGUUUUAAAAGUUACUGCUGCAUAGGUUCCAUAACCAAAGAUUCUGACUCAAAUGAUAUGGAGUUGGGCCUGGACAUCAGUAUUUUGUGAUAGCUUCCCAAGUGAUUUUAAUGAGUACCAGGAUUGAGACCUACCCUAACAUAAAACAUAAAGAUAGUACAAAUGAGGGAAAAUAAUAGCUCAAUCACUUAAUCUCACUUAUGAAUAUAGUUGCAAAAAUAAAAUAUCCAUAUAUAGAAUUCACCUGUCAUCAAAAAUAAUGACUUCUACUAAAUAGACAAUUUCAGAAACACAUGAAUGACUCCCUCACAGAAAAUGUAUGCACAUAAUUUAUUACAUUACAGUUCUGGUAGAGAAAACCCAUAGGAACAUAUCAAUAGAUGCUGAAAUUUUAACAACCAAAUAAAACCUUUUAAUAGGAAUGGAAAAGAAUUACUGAGAUGUGCUAAGGUCUGCUUGGUGGAUAUUAAUAAUGUUUACUCGUAUCUGCUUUCUGUUUUCUUCCAGGCAUUCAGGCAGUUAUAUUUCCCAGUCCCCUUGCGGUUUUCUGGGUGGAGUCUGUGAGUCGUUUCGGUUAACGGGCUGGGGAUGGAAGACGUGCGUCACUACUGUGCCAAAGCACUGAAGAGUCGGGACAAGGCCACUGAGGCACAUGGAAGUGAGUGGGCUCCCCCAGCCCUGACCCAGUCAAGACCAGAACCAGGUCCCAGCCUGUCUCUGUGCUCCAAGACUACACCUGUUGGUCUGGAUUGCAGCUGGAAUUGGAAGGGAAAUGCAUUUCCAUUGAAGGAAGAAGUAUGAGAGUGAGCAGGCAGGUGUCAGCAGAGCUCAAGAGAAUAACGUCAAGUGGAUGAUGACUUACAGGCAGGAGGAGGCAGAUCAGCUAGGCAGAUGUGCAGAAGUUAAGUGUGGUUUCAUGCAGAAACUUCCAAGUGGACUCAAGAGCCAAAGACUUCAAGAAGUUGGUGUAAUUGUCACUUGGAAUAUGUUUGUAUUAAUUCAGAUCAUACCUACCAAUAAUAUGGAGGAUUCAGAGAGAGGAGUUCCGGAGACGUGGGUCUGAUUCCAGCUUUGCCUCCUGCUAAAU